UUAAGCAUAUAACUAAGCGGAGGAAAAGAAACUAACAAGGAUUUCCCUAGUAACGGCGAGUGAAGCGGAAAGAGCCCAGCACCGAAUCCCCCAGUGUGACGCUGGCGGGAACUGUGGUGUGUGGGACGCCACCAGUCGCGCGUACGAACACCGAAGUCCUCCUGAUCGAGGCUUCACCCAGAGCGGGUGUAAGGCCUUUGCUGGUGCUUCGUUGCGCGGCCGCGAGCGUCUCAGGAGUCGGGUUGUUUGAGAAUGCAGCCCAAAGCGGGUGGUAAACUCCAUCUAAGGCUAAAUACUUGCACGAGUCCGAUAGCGGACAAGUACCGUGAGGG
rnacentral:rRNA from 1 species